rnacentral:rRNA from 1 species
CCUACGGGAGGCAGCAGUGAGGAAUAUUGGUCAAUGGUCGGGAGACUGAACCAGCCAAGCCGCGUGCGGGAUGAAGGUACAGAGUAUCGUAAAUCUCUUUUGUCAGGGAACAAAGGCGGGGACGUGUCCCAGGAUGAGUGUACCUGAAGAAAAAGCAUCGGCUAAAUCCGUGACAGCAGACGCGGUAAUACGGUGGAUGCGAGCUUUACCCGGAUGUACUGGGUGUAAAGGGCUUGUAGGCGGGACUGCAAGUCAGAUGUGAAAACCACGGGCUCAACCUAUGGCCUGCAUUUGAAACUGUAGUUCUUGAGUACGGGAGAGGCAGGCGGAAUUCCGAGUGUAGCGGUGAAAUGCGUAGAUAUUAGGAGGAACACCAGUGGCGAAGGCGGUCUGCUGGA